ACCUUANCAAGGCUUGACAUAUACAGGAAUAUGGCAGAGAUGUCAUAGCCGCAAGGUCUGUAUACAGGUGGUGCAUGGNUGUCGUCAGCUCGUGUCGUGAGAUGUUGGGUUAAGUCCCGCAACGAGCGCAACCCUCGUUCUGUGUUGCCAGCANUUUAGUUGGGGACUCACAGGAGACUGCCGGGGUUAACUCGGAGGAAGGUGGGGAUGACGUCAAAUCAUCAUGCCCCUUAUGUCUUGGGCUGCACGCAUGCUACAAUGGCUGGUACAAACGGCUGCAAUACCGCAAGGUGGAGCGAAUCCGAGAAAGCCAGUCUCAGUUCGGAUUGGGGUNUGCAACUCGACCCCAUGAAGUCGGAGUUGCUAGUAAUCGUAGAUCAGCAACGCUACGGUGAAUACGUUCCCGGGGCUUGUACACACCGCCCGUCACGUCACGAAAGUCGGUAACACCCGAAGUCAGUGGCCCAACCGCAAGGA
rnacentral:rRNA from 1 species